GAUUCUGUAGUGUAGCGGGAAGUUAUCACGUUUGCCUCACGCGCGAAAGGUCCCCGGUUCGAACCCGGGCAGGAUCA